UGUCAGUACAAACUAAAUGAGAGUGAAACCGCGAAUGGCUCAUUAAAUCAGCUAUGAUUCAUUGGAUCUGUACACCCAGUUUUCCUUGGAUAACUGUGGUAAUUCUAGAGCUAAUACAUGCACAUAUAGUCCCUGCCCUCCUCUCUUGUCUGACGAUGAGAGAGAGAGGGAAGGGCGCUUUUAUUAGUAUCAAAACCGGUCGGGCUUCGGUCUGUUAACCUAUUUGAUGACUCUGGAUAACUUUUAGCUGAGCGCACGGUCUUUUGCACCGGCGCCGCUUCUUUCAAGUGUCUGCCUUAUCAGCUUUCGAUUGUAUGUUAUGUGCCUACAAUGGCUAUAACGGGUAACGGGGAAUCAGGGUUCGAUUCCGGAGAGGGAGCCUGAGAAACGGCUACCACAUCUAAGGAAGGCAGCAGGCACGCAAAUUACCCACUCCCGGCACGGGGAGGUAGUGACGAAAAAUAACGAUGCGAGACUCAUCCGAGGCUUCGCAAUCGGAAUGAGUACACUUUAAAUCCUUUAACGAGGAUCAAUUGGAGGGCAAGUCUGGUGCCAGCAGCCGCGGUAAUUCCAGCUCCAAUGGCGUAUAUUAAAGUUGUUGCGGUUAAAAAGCUCGUAGUUGGAUUUCAGUAUUGGACUGAUGAGUUUUUUCACCUUCGGGUGAUUAAACGGAAUCAAGCUUCAAAACCUGCUACCACAAUAAUUACAUUGUGUGUUGCUCAACUAGCUCACACGGGGUGCUCUUAACCGAGUGUCCCGAGUGGCUGGUAUGUUUACUUUGAAAAAAUUAGAGUGCUCAGAGCAGGCUACAAAUGGCCUGAAUGUCUAUGCAUGGAAUAAUAUAAGAGGACCUCGGUUUUAUGUUUUACCGCGUUUCUUUUGGAAACCCGAGGUAAUGAUUAAUAGGACCAAGUGAGGGCAUUAGUACUGCGACGCUAGAGAGAUGCUUUCAUUAAUCAAGAACGAAAGUUAGAGGUUCGAAGGCGAUCAGAUACCGCCCUAGUUCUAACCAUAAACGAUGCUAACCAGCGAUCCGCCGUAGUUAUUCCCAUGACUCGGCGGGCAGCUUCCGGGAAACCAAAGUCUUUGAGUUCCGGGGGAAGUAUGGUUGCAAAUCUGAAACUUAAAGGAAUUGACGGAAGGGCACCACCAGGAGUGGAGCCUGCGGCUUAAUUUGACUCAACACGGGAAACCUCACCAGGCCCAGACACUGGAAGGAUUGACAGAUUGAGAGCUCUUUCUCGAUUCAGUGGGUGGUGGUGCAUGGCCGUUCUUAGUUGGUGGAGCGAUUUGUCUGGUUAAUUCCGAUAACGAACGAGACUCUGGCCUAUUAACUAGUCGACGGAUUUCCAAACCAUGCAAUUGGUGUCCAGUUCGCAAUAUUAUCUUCUUAGAGGGAUAAGCGGUAGUCCUAGCCGCACGAGAAUGAGCAAUAACAGGUCUGUGAUGCCCUUAGAUGUUCUGGGCCGCACGCGCGCUACACUGAAGGGAUCAGAAUGUUUUCCCCCUCCGAAAGGAGCGGGUAACCCGAUGAAACCCCUUCGUGAUAGGGAUUGGGGCUUGUAAUUAUUUCCCAUGAACGAGGAAUUCCCAGUAAGCGCAGAUCAAGAGUUUGCGUUGAUUACGUCCCUGCCCUUUGUACACACCGCCCGUCGCUACUACCGAUUGAAUGAUUUAGUGAGGCCUUCGGACUGUCGCUCUUGGAUAUCUUGGCUUAAUGCUAGUUCCUAGAGCUGACGGAAAGAUGUCCAAACUUGAUCAUUUAGAGGAAGUAAAAGUCGUAACAAGGUUUCC
rnacentral:rRNA from 1 species